rnacentral:lncRNA from 1 species
UUCAUCUGUCAAAAAGCAAUAGGAUGAACCAUUUCAGGACAUGAUGCAAUUCCUUCUGUCUUAAACAAAAAGCAUUUUUUUUUUAGCUCAGUUUCUCCUGAGCUUACAUUUAUACUUUUAUUUCAAGAGCCUUGGCUUCCUUGAAGGGUUGUUCCAUGUAAGGAGAGUUGUUCCAGUCAGUGUCAGCUUUGAUUCAGAAGGCAGUGAAUUUUCUGAGACCUGAUACUGAGACACGGAAAGCUGUCUCUCCUGUUUCCCUCAUCUACACAAGCUGUGACUUAAAGAGCAGAAAAAGCAGUGAGCCUGGUAAGUGGCCAUUAAACCAGACACCUCCUGCCUCUCAAGGAUCAGCACAGCAAAGUAGGACAACAUGGAAUAAAUGUGGCACUCCCACCAGAAAGAUCCAAUAAUGCUUCGGGGAAAAAGAUUUAAAAUGUUCUUUUAAUAAUAAGUCUUGUCG